rnacentral:rRNA from 1 species
GAUGAACGCUGGCGGCGUGCCUAAUACAUGCAAGUCGAGCGAACGGACGAGAAGCUUGCUUCUCUGAUGUUAGCGGCGGACGGGUGAGUAACACGUGGAUAACCUACCUAUAAGACUGGGAUAACUUCGGGAAACCGGAGCUAAUACCGGAUGAUAUUUUGAGCCGCAUGGUUCAAAAGUGAAAGACGGUCUUGCUGUCACUUAUAGAUGGAUCCGCGCUGCAUUAGCUAGUUGGUAAGGUAACGGCUUACCAAGGCAACGAUGCAUAGCCGACCUGAGAGGGUGAUCGGCCACACUGGAACUGAGACACGGUCCAGACUCCUACGGGAGGCAGCAGUAGGGAAUCUUCCGCAAUGGGCGAAAGCCUGACGGAGCAACGCCGCGUGAGUGAUGAAGGUCUUCGGAUCGUAAAACUCUGUUAUUAGGGAAGAACAUAUGUGUAAGUAACUGUGCACGUCUUGACGGUACCUAAUCAGAAAGCCACGGCUAACUACGUG